UGGGGAAUUUUGGACAAUGGGCGCAAGCCUGAUCCAGCCAUGCCGCGUGCGGGAAGAAGGCCUUCGGGUUGUAAACCGCUUUUGUCAGGGAAGAAAUCUUCUGAGUUAAUACCUCGGGGAGGAUGACGGUACCUGAAGAAUAAGCACCGGCUAACUACGUGCCAGCAGCCGCGGUAAUACGUAGGGUGCAAGCGUUAAUCGGAAUUACUGGGCGUAAAGCGUGCGCAGGCGGUUUUGUAAGACAGAGGUGAAAUCCCCGGGCCCAACCUGGGAACUGCCUUUGUGACUGCAAGGCUUGAGUGCGGCAGAGGGGGGAUGGAAUUCCGCGUGUAGCAGUGAAAUGCGUAGAUAUGCGGAGGAACACCGAUGGCGAAGGCAAUCCCCCUGGGCCUGCACUGACGCUCAUGCACGAAAGCGUGGGGAGCAAAACAGGAUUAGAUACCCUGGUAGUCCACGCCCUAAACGAUGUCAACUGGUUGUU
rnacentral:rRNA from 1 species